rnacentral:rRNA from 1 species
UACGUAGGGUGCGAGCGUUAAUCGGAAUUACUGGGCGUAAAGCGUGCGCAGGCGGUUUGACAAGUCUGAUGUGAAAUCCCCGGGCUCAACCUGGGAACUGCGUUGGAAACUGGCAGACUGGAGUGUGGCAGAGGGGGGUGGAAUUCCAAGUGUAGCAGUGAAAUGCGUAGAUAUUUGGAGGAACACCGAUGGCGAAGGCAGCCCCCUGGGCUAACACUGACGCUCAUGCACGAAAGCGUGGGGAGCAAACAGGAUUAGAUACCCUAGUAGU